CCCUCAAAUUUGGCUUGUGGCACUCACUCACCGAAUUGUGGAUGGCACUCAAUUUCUUUUGCUCUCCUUCCUCUCUACUCACUGGAACAAUUUCAAAUUUCUUUUGUAAAUGUUCAGCCAUGAUUUGUUGGGGUGUCAUAGGCUUGAGAACAAACUUCUUCCCCGUUAGAUUGAUAGUAAACUGAUUUGUUCUCCCACAAUGUUGGCUAUAUCGAUCAUAUUGCCAUGGCCUUCCAAGCAGCAAGUGACACACCGACAUGGGGGCCACAUCACACUCUACUGUGUCAACAUAUUCACCAAUCUUGAAUGGAAUGUUUACUUUAUAUCCAAUCUUGAUAUCUCCCGAAUCAUUCAACCACUGUACUGAUAUGGAUGUGGGUGUCGUAGCAGCUU
rnacentral:lncRNA from 1 species